rnacentral:rRNA from 1 species
AUGAACGCUAGCGGCAGGCCUAACACAUGCAAGUCGAGGGGCAUCACGAGGUAGCAAUACUUUGGUGGCGACCGGCGCACGGGUGCGUAACGCGUAUGUAACCUACCUAUAACAGGGGCAUAACACUGAGAAAUUGGUACUAAUUCCCCAUAAUAUUCGGAGAGGCAUCUCUCCGGGUUGAAAACUCCGGUGGUUAUAGAUGGACAUGCGUUGUAUUAGCUAGUUGGUGAGGUAACGGCUCACCAAGGCAACGAUACAUAGGGGGACUGAGAGGUUAACCCCCCACACUGGUACUGAGACACGGACCAGACUCCUACGGGAGGCAGCAGUGAGGAAUAUUGGUCAAUGGACGCAAGUCUGAACCAGCCAUGCCGCGUGCAGGAAGACGGCUCUAUGAGUUGUAAACUGCUUUUGUACGAGGGUAAACUCACCUACGUGUAGGUGACUGAAAGUAUCGUACGAAUAAGGAUCGGCUAACUCCGUGCCAGCAGCCGCGGUAAUACGGAGGAUUCAAGCGUUAUCCGGAUUUAUUGGGUUUAAAGGGUGCGUAGGCGGUUUGAUAAGUUAGAGGUGAAAUCCCGGGGCUUAACUCCGGAACUGCCUCUAAUACUGUUAGACUAGAGAGUAGUUGCGGUAGGCGGAAUGUAUGGUGUAGCGGUGAAAUGCUUAGAGAUCAUACAGAACACCGAUUGCGAAGGCAGCUUACCAAACUAUAUCUGACGUUGAGGCACGAAAGCGUGGGGAGCAAACAGGAUUAGAUACCCUGGUAGUCCACGCAGUAAACGAUGAUAACUCGUUGUCGGCGAUACACAGUCGGUGACUAAGCGAAAGCGAUAAGUUAUCCACCUGGGGAGUACGUUCGCAAGAAUGAAACUCAAAGGAAUUGACGGGGGCCCGCACAAGCGGAGGAACAUGUGGUUUAAUUCGAUGAUACGCGAGGAACCUUACCCGGGUUUGAACGCAUUCGGACCGAGGUGGAAACACCUUUUCUAGCAAUAGCCGUUUGCGAGGUGCUGCAUGGUUGUCGUCAGCUCGUGCCGUGAGGUGUCGGGUUAAGUCCCAUAACGAGCGCAACCCCUACCGUUAGUUGCCAUCAGGUCAAGCUGGGCACUCUGGCGGGACUGCCGGUGUAAGCCGAGAGGAAGGUGGGGAUGACGUCAAAUCAGCACGGCCCUUACGUCCGGGGCUACACACGUGUUACAAUGGUAGGUACAGAGGGUCGCUACCCCGCGAGGGGAUGCCAAUCUCGAAAGCCUAUCUCAGUUCGGAUUGGAGGCUGAAACCCGCCUCCAUGAAGUUGGAUUCGCUAGUAAUCGCGCAUCAGCCAUGGCGCGGUGAAUACGUUCCCGGGCCUUGUACACACCGCCCGUCAAGCCAUGGAAGCUGGGGGUGCCUGAAGUUCGUGACCGCAAGGAGCGACCUAGGGCAAAACCGGUAACUGGGGCU